CAGAAAGUGUUUUUUAAUUGCAGUUUCGGCUGCUGGGAAAGCGGUAGAUCACUAUGGCUUCUGUACCGUGAAAUGAAGCUUAUGAUAAAUAAAAUACUGCUGCUUGCUGGUCACUGAUUGAAGAUCGUGCAGUGGCUACCAUUGGCCAAUCUCACCAACGGGAUAUAAUAAGAACUGAUGCAGGUUUAUAUCUAUAUGUAUUGUCUAUUCGGAACAAAGUUAGUACGCUUUUUAAACCGAUGUUGGAUUUUUCUCCAGAUACAGGCAACCCACUUAACUUUGGAAGUAGUGCGCUGGAUUCGUCUAAAGAUAUGCUACACAACCGGAGGAAAAUAAAAUAAUUUGUAAAACAAUUAAUUGUAUUGUAUUUUUAUUGUAAUAUUGGAGUAUAAUGUAUUCUAAAUCCUGUUGUAUUUCUAUUGUAAAACAAUAGAAACAGUAAUUGAAAACAUUUAAAACACAAUGUUUUCUAUUGUUUUGUCGCUCGAAAUCAUCCCAUUGAAGAACCGUAAAAUCAAUUGUUUUGCUCCGAAUUUUGUAUGGAAAAUUUUCGAUUUUUUUAUUGU